rnacentral:rRNA from 1 species
ACGAACGCUGGCGGCAUGCCUAACACAUGCAAGUCGAACGAGACCUUCGGGUCUAGUGGCGCACGGGUGCGUAACGCGUGGGAAUCUGCCCUUUGCUACGGAAUAACUCGGGGAACGUACGUGCUAAUACCGUACUGAUGUCGCAAGACCAAAGAUUUAUUCGGCAAGGGAUGAGCCCGCGUAGGAUUAGCUAGUUGGUGAGGUAAAGGCUCACCAAGGCGACGAUCCUUAGCGGUU